GCCUCCUUAGUAUAGCGCAGUACGUGAAAUUGCAAACUUCAAGGCAUAGAAGGAGGCU
rnacentral:tRNA from 1 species